AACGCAGUUAUAAAUUCUAGACUCUCGCUUGUCCCACUUCCGAAUGCCAUUUCCGGCACCAUUUGUUCGGUGCUGUGUGAUGGAUUUUGUUUUUUUGUUUUUUUUGUUUUUUUAAUUAUUGUUCGACUCGUAUGAAUUAGCAAUUCUGGUUUGGGUUGGAAUUAGUUUCGGAUGGAAUGGAAUGGGGAUGCAUCGAAGGCAUCGCGCUCCGGCAUCGGGGCCGCGCUGCUGGAUCCCAUCGACAAUCCCACUCUCGCACGGAAUCGUGAUUCUUCUUCGCCACCGCAUCUGGAAUGGCGCCUGACGUGACCCAGGUCAACGAAAAAUUCGAUGAGAAUCUUUGGAAGAUUCCAUGAGCUACAAAAGAAUACUCGAUAAAUUCGUCGACGAUCGGAUCAAAGGGAAUAUGCGAUUAAUUGUUUAUUUAAUACUAAUACUUUUGUGAUACAUAUACAUAUAUGAGUGGAAAUCCAAGUCAUGUGGCACUGCAAUCUUUGAAACAUCCAUUCAUCCCCUUAUUCAUCCAUGUUCCCUCGUUCCCACGUUCUCUGGUUUCUAUGUUCUUUAGUUAUGUUUUCCAAGGUCUCCACAUUCCCUUCUUCACGGCCAAUCAAAAAGCUUCUUUGUCUCUUUGUACCCAAGUUGUUUUAUAUAAUAGAUCUUUUUAAGAAGUGAAAUAUUUUCAGUUUGGU
rnacentral:lncRNA from 1 species